rnacentral:piRNA from 1 species
UGGUUAAGCAUCAACGGAACGCUGUGCCCU